CCCUCACACUGGAUAACAUUUUUGUAUCUUCCAUUUCAGCAUUUUUGUACAGGUUAUUGUGAGUCUGAGGAAUUAACUACCUAGCACAGACGAAAAUCCUGGGAGGCACUGAAAGGUUUCAGCACUUUUUCAGGAUAUUAAGGAAGAUAAAUAAAGCUAAGAAGACUGAAUAAGAGGAUUAAAAAAGUAAUACUGAAUUUCUGAUGACAGUUGAUUUGAAACAUCCAGUGUUUGGUGAGCAGAUGGUACCUGACCAUGUGACCUGCUCUUCAGCUCUACUUAAGCAGGAGCUGGUAACAGGGUUGGAGAUGUACAGUUAGAGAAGGACAUGUGUCCAGGUGUAGCGAGGCGGUGGGAUACCCCACAGCCCCGCUGAGGGCUGAACCUCCCCUAACACCAAUGUGGGCGGAGCCACUGGGUCCGGCGCCCACCCCUCAGAGGUCAUGGCGCCGACACGGAAGUAUAAAAGCCCACCUACAGAGCUUAGUGGAGAACAAGCUGCUGGAGAGAGCAGACGUCUGUGGACGAGCUCCUGCUUGGGAGACAGCAGCAGGCCGCAACCAGCCUGAGGACUCACCAGGCCAGCUGAGCCUACCCCUGACCCGUUACCCCGAGGAGGACUGGCUGACCUUCCCCUUUCCAGCUACCCUGAGGAGGAGCCGAGCCUGCCCUUUCCAGCUAUCCCGAGGAGGAGCCAAACCUACCCUUUGCUACCUACCCGGAGGAACCGAUGCUGGUGGAGACCACCGAGGGCACUAGUACGACCCAGGAGCUGAACGAACUUUGUAGAAAUGCUGCAGCGGGUUGUGAAUGAGGAUCUAUGAGAUGAGAAAAGCAUGCCCUUCUGCUCAGAGGACAGAGUGAAUGAGCAAAAGCAAGCAGUGCUGCGAUGUUGGGCUGUUCGUUCUCUGAUGAAUAUUCGGGUGCAGUCAUAGAAGGCUAGGAAGCCUGAUAUUAAAACAAAAUAUGUAUCAAUGUGUUUGUCUGUUGCAAAGCACUAAUCACUAGGAGAAUGAUUCAGUUAGGCAGUCAGGCCUUAUCCAAAAACCAAUGAAGUCUAUGAGAGUCUUCAGUGAACUUUCGAUCAAAAAUACCAUAGUCUAGAUUUUUAAAACCCAGCCUUCUUUUAUGUGCUUAUAAUAAUCAUUGGAUGCUAUUUCGCAACUGGAGUUAGUUGUAUGCUCUUUUGAUGUCAUUUAAAAGUCUAAUUGCAUAGUACACAGAUACAAUGAUUUAGUAUAUUUUGAACUUAUGUCAUGUUUUCUUAAAAUCCUACUUCCUCAAUUUUCUGGUUAAGGCAGGAGUUAGGUGAACCCUGGUCUAAUGCUGAAGCAGGACUCAGAGUAACAUCAAUUGAGUGGAUUGGCAGGGUCCCAGCCUCAGCUCCCAUUUUGUCUGAGUGAAAGAGGGAUGUUCCUGCUUCUAUAAUGUGACUGUCUUUAAGCCUGUAGGAUGGGGGAAAUGGGAGAAGACACAGAAUUCAAGGGAUAAAUGGUGAAAAUAAACUGGGGUUUCUGGAGGCCUGUGAGCCACCAGGAGGGUGAAGAGGAUAGCCAUUGAUGGCUAACUUGCCUGCUUCCAGGUGAAUCUACAGAGACAGUGAUGGAAUAGGUGAAAUGGAUUUUCAAUCCUUGAAUUCCCACUCCUUAUGCCCAUUUAACUGUCCACUGAAUAGCUAGUUCUCCUAUCUCUUACAGGGGCACCUUCAUGACAUGGGCAUUUUUUCUCCACUGUGAAUGUUUCCAGCCAAAGGUACAAUAGCAAGCCAGGAAGCAAUAGGGCCGGGGUGUGUUGAAGAGUCCCAUGUAAAGGUAAGCACUCUGAUGGAAAGCAAAUCCCUUGCUUUGCUAUUAAAGUAUCUUCCUGCUACAUAAAUUAUUAUUGACUCUGCUAAAUAAUAAAUAAAGUCACAUUACCAAAUCAGCCUCUCCUGAUGCAAUAAUGAAAACAUCUUACUGAUCUCCUUUCUCAUCCAUGACUCAUUUUCAAUGAGAAAUGGAAGUGGCAAAAGCCAUCUCUUGCAGACUCUGACUCAGAAGCCUCUUUUUUUUUAUUUAACUUGUUAUGUAUUAAAAUGUUCUGGAUACAGGUUGACUUGCUUUGUUCAAUAUUUAUUAUUGUUUCACCUGCCUUGAAAUGGG